GUUAACAAACUCCCACAGUUAACAUACGCAGAAACAAUACAGUUCCUUCGAACCCUUAUUCUUCACCGCAACAAAAAUCCAAUUCUUCUUCUUCACUGAAACAAUCGAUUGAAUCCUUCAUCACUGCAAACACUUCAAAAUCGAACCCUUUGUUAAACUCUUCUCACGAACCCAGAAAUCCCUUAGUCAAACUCGAAUCAUUCACAUAAAACCCAGAAAUCCUACUCUUCACCGCCGAGAAAUCGAACCCCGUCGCUGCAAACCCCAACCCUUCACUGCAAACUUGAACCCCAUUGCAGCUCUCUUAGUCCGUAUAUGUAAUCUACAAACCCUAACUUCUUUUUUUAGUUGUUUGAUUGCAAUUUCUUGUUGCUAUUGUUUCCUUUUCUGUUUCUGGUGCUGUGUUGCAAAGAGAUUAUUGCAAUUUCCAUAUUAUUAUUAUUAUUAUUAUUAUUAUUAUUAUUAUUAUUAUUUUCUCUUCUAGUUGUUGUGUAGUGAUGAGAGAUGUUGAGUGGAGUAUAAUUUUAAUUUGUUGGAAUAUUACAUAUUCUCUUUUUUCCACAUUUUAACAGUUUUUAAUUUGGUGGAUUAGUAUCUAUUUUAAAUUAUUCUUAUAAUAUAAUUUUGGGGAAGCAACUUUAUACAUAGAGGCUAUGAAUCUUAUGAUGAUUACUAUGGUUUUGGUUCUGUGUGUUUUUACUCUAUUAUCAUUACAGGUUCACAGGAAAUUGGACCUUAUCUUGUGGUUGGUUUACAUAUCUGAUAAUGCUAUAUUAGGCUUUCAUUAUCAUUUAUUAAUACUCUGCAACUCAUAAUAAUAAGUGUAUUACUGUUGUAAUGCAGCCACAACAAUUAUCACAAUAGAUGAUAAGUAUUGCUUUGUCCUGGUUUGUUGUUGUUAGUUUUGGGAGAUUGUUUCGUUUUAGUUUGUUUGAAAAGAUCGAAGCAUGCCGUUUGUGUUUUCCUUGCUAUAGGGUGUUAUUCAAGAACUGGUUGUUUAGUUCCAGUUCUUCCUUUAUAUACCAGUUCAAAUCAGUUUGGUUUUGCGAGAGGUCAAGGUGAUGGGCUCUCAAAAUAUGUCAAGUUUGAAAGAAAUUGCAGCCCUUGUAUACAAGUUCAAAUCAGUUUCAAUAGCUAUUAAUAUGACACAAUCUAUGGAAGUUGUCUGUGAGAUGGUGUGAUUCUUUAGCAGCUCCCCCCAUUAUUUUUGUUUGUAGGUCUGCCAAUGCCACCAUGAUAUCUCUCACUUAUAUUUAGAUUAUAAUAUGUUUCUUCUGACAGCCAAAGCAACUUGGAUAAGUUCAAGUCUGAGGAUUGUAAUAUUCUCCCUUGUACUGACAUAGCUAGAAGGGGACUGGAUAUGAAGUGUUCACUUUGUGUUUAACUUAUUAUUCAAUUGUUUACUAAUCUAUAAUCCUCUUACUGAUAAUGUGCAUAGAAGGCGGCAAUGACAGAUGUCAACUGUUGUGACAUAUGCAUUGCUGCCAUUAUCUUAGUUCCAAUAUCAAUUAUUAGAAGUUAUUUAGUUUGUUUAUCAUGUCACAUGACAGGUAUUUCCUGUUACUCAAAAGAAAUUUUGUGGAUUCAAUCCUUUUACAACGUUUGUGUGCUAUAAAAUUAUUUUAUAAUCUGAGGUUCUACACAAACUUAUAAGCUAUGAGGUUUGGCACAUCUCUCGCUCUCAAACAUAGGAAAUUCACACAAAGGUUCAAGUUAUUGACAUCUAUCUAGUCUCUUUUUAAUCCACACAAAGGCCGUACAAAAUGCUGCUUAUAAGCUGAUUGGCAUGUUGUCUAUAUAGUGUGCAAUAUGUCACAAUCUACGGAAGUUGUUCAUGAGUGUUGGAAAAGUGAACUUCACAUGUCUAUAUAACUGGUUUAUAUAGAAUUAGAAGAGUCUGCAACUCUGCAUCAAUAUACUUUGUUGGAACUGAAGUUUUACAUUGAGAAAAGUAUUAUUGACUAGACAUUCACAUAUUCAUUAUUGUGUUGGUUCUCAGUGUGUGUUAGAAUUGUAAUUAGUUUGUAGUUAGUUUAGUUACUUAUUUCUUCAUGAGUGAUAUUAUACCCCUUAAAUUAGUUUGUAAAUUUGUUCUUAUGUAAUUUAAAUUGGGCAAAAUAAAUUACUCUCAUUUGGAUAUUUG